rnacentral:tRNA from 1 species
GCUCACGUAGCUCAGUUGGUAGAGCACGUCCUUGGUAAGGACGAGGUCAUCGGUUCAAUCCCGAUCGUGAGCUCCA